AAGGACAAAAUUGUAACUUUACUUCAAAAACGUGUUCCCCAUAUUUUUAGGAACCUAAAAUUUAAAACUCAAGUCAAAUCGAGUAAAAAAAUGAGGUUCAAAUCGAAGAAAAAUCAUUUUUGAGUUUUAUCGGGUAAAAUCUUUGAAUUUGUGUUAAAGUCAAGAAUCAGAAUUGGUUUGAAGGUUAAAUUGAUGAAAAACUAGUAAUUAUAAGAUUAAAAUACUAUCCAAGUG
rnacentral:lncRNA from 1 species